ACAGAGGGUGCGAGCGUUAAUCGGAAUUACUGGGCGUAAAGCGUGCGUAGACGGUUUCGUAAGUCGGAUGUGAAAUCCCCGGGCUCAACCUGGGAAUUGCAUUCGAAACUGCAAGGCUAGGGUGCGGAAGAGGGAAGCGGAAUUUCCGGUGUAGCGGUGAAAUGCGUAGAUAUCGGAAGGAACAUCAGUGGCGAAGGCGGCUUCCUGGUCCAGCACCGACGUUCAGGCACGAAAGCGUGGGGAGCAAACAGG
rnacentral:rRNA from 1 species